UUAAGCGACUAAGCGUACACGGUGGAUGCCCUGGCAGUCAGAGGCGAUGAAGGACGUGCUAAUCUGCGAAAAGCGUCGGUAAGGUGAUAUGAACCGUUAUAACCGGCGAUGUCCGAAUGGGGAAACCCAGUGCAAUUCGUUGCACUAUCGUUAACUGAAUACAUAGGUUAACGAGGCGAACCGGGGGAACUGAAACAUCUAAGUACCCCGAGGAAAAGAAAUCAACCGAGAUUCCCCCAGUAGCGGCGAGCGAACGGGGAGCAGCCCAGAGUCUGAAUCAGCUUGUGUGUUAGUGGAACGGUCUGGAAAGUCCGACGGUACAGGGUGAUAGUCCCGUACACCAAAAUGCACAGGUUGUGAACUCGAAGAGUAGGGCGGGACACGUGGUAUCCUGUCUGAAUAUGGGGGGACCAUCCUCCAAGGCUAAAUACUCCUGACUGACCGAUAGUGAACCAGUACCGUGAGGGAAAGGCGAAAAGAACCCCGGCGAGGGGAGUGAAAAAGAACCUGAAACCGUGUACGUACAAGCAGUGGGAGCACCUUUAUGGUGUGACUGCGUACCUUUUGUAUAAUGGGUCAGCGACUUAUAUUCUGUAGCAAGGUUAACCGUAUAGGGGAGCCGCAGGGAAACCGAGUCUUAACUGGGCGUUAAGUUGCAGGGUAUAGACCCGAAACCCGGUGAUCUAGCCAUGGGCAGGUUGAAGGUUGGGUAACACUAACUGGAGGACCGAACCGACUAAUGUUGAAAAAUUAGCGGAUGACUUGUGGCUGGGGGUGAAAGGCCAAUCAAACCGGGAGAUAGCUGGUUCUCCCCGAAAGCUAUUUAGGUAGCGCCUCGUGAACUCAUCUUCGGGGGUAGAGCACUGUUUCGGCUAGGGGGUCAUCCCGACUUACCAACCCGAUGCAAACUACGAAUACCGAAGAAUGUUAUCACGGGAGACACACGGCGGGUGCUAACGUCCGUCGUGAAGAGGGAAACAACCCAGACCGCCAGCUAAGGUCCCAAAGUCAUGGUUAAGUGGGAAACGAUGUGGGAAGGCACAGACAGCCAGGAUGUUGGCUUAGAAGCAGCCAUCAUUUAAAGAAAGCGUAAUAGCUCACUGGUCGAGUCGGCCUGCGCGGAAGAUGUAACGGGGCUAAACCAUGCACCGAAGCUGCGGCAGCGACACGAUGUGUUGUUGGGUAGGGGAGCGUUCUGUAAGCCUGCGAAGGUGGCCUGUGAGGGUUGCUGGAGGUAUCAGAAGUGCGAAUGCUGACAUAAGUAACGAUAAAGCGGGUGAAAAGCCCGCUCGCCGGAAGACCAAGGGUUCCUGUCCAACGUUAAUCGGGGCAGGGUGAGUCGACCCCUAAGGCGAGGCCGAAAGGCGUAGUCGAUGGGAAACAGGUUAAUAUUCCUGUACUUGGUGUUACUGCGAAGGGGGGACGGAGAAGGCUAUGUUAGCCGGGCGACGGUUGUCCCGGUUUAAGCAUGUAGGCUGGUUAUCCAGGCAAAUCCGGAUAAUCAAGGCUGAGGUGUGAUGACGAGGCACUACGGUGCUGAAGUAACAAAUGCCCUGCUUCCAGGAAAAGCCUCUAAGCAUCAGGUAACAUCAAAUCGUACCCCAAACCGACACAGGUGGUCAGGUAGAGAAUACCAAGGCGCUUGAGAGAACUCGGGUGAAGGAACUAGGCAAAAUGGUGCCGUAACUUCGGGAGAAGGCACGCUGGUGUGUAGGUGAAGCCCCUGCGGGUGGAGCUGAGACCAGUCGAAGAUACCAGCUGGCUGCAACUGUUUAUUAAAAACACAGCACUGUGCAAACACGAAAGUGGACGUAUACGGUGUGACGCCUGCCCGGUGCCGGAAGGUUAAUUGAUGGGGUUAUCCGUAAGGAGAAGCUCUUGAUCGAAGCCCCGGUAAACGGCGGCCGUAACUAUAACGGUCCUAAGGUAGCGAAAUUCCUUGUCGGGUAAGUUCCGACCUGCACGAAUGGCGUAAUGAUGGCCAGGCUGUCUCCACCCGAGACUCAGUGAAAUUGAACUCGCUGUGAAGAUGCAGUGUACCCGCGGCAAGACGGAAAGACCCCGUGAACCUUUACUAUAGCUUGACACUGAACAUUGAGCCUUGAUGUGUAGGAUAGGUGGGAGGCUUUGAAGCGUGGACGCCAGUCUGCGUGGAGCCAACCUUGAAAUACCACCCUUUAAUGUUUGAUGUUCUAACGUUGGCCCCUUAUCGGGGUUGCGGACAGUGUCUGGUGGGUAGUUUGACUGGGGCGGUCUCCUCCCAAAGCGUAACGGAGGAGCACGAAGGUUAGCUAAUCCUGGUCGGACAUCAGGAGGUUAGUGCAAUGGCAUAAGCUAGCUUGACUGCGAGCGUGACGGCGCGAGCAGGUGCGAAAGCAGGUCAUAGUGAUCCGGUGGUUCUGAAUGGAAGGGCCAUCGCUCAACGGAUAAAAGGUACUCCGGGGAUAACAGGCUGAUACCGCCCAAGAGUUCAUAUCGACGGCGGUGUUUGGCACCUCGAUGUCGGCUCAUCACAUCCUGGGGCUGAAGUAGGUCCCAAGGGUAUGGCUGUUCGCCAUUUAAAGUGGUACGCGAGCUGGGUUUAGAACGUCGUGAGACAGUUCGGUCCCUAUCUGCCGUGGGCGCUGGAGAAUUGAGGGGGGCUGCUCCUAGUACGAGAGGACCGGAGUGGACGCAUCACUGGUGUUCGGGUUGUCAUGCCAAUGGCACUGCCCGGUAGCUAAAUGCGGAAGAGAUAAGUGCUGAAAGCAUCUAAGCACGAAACUUGCCCCGAGAUGAGUUCUCCCUGAGACUUUAAGUCUCCUGAAGGAACGUUAAAGACGAUGACGUUGAUAGGCCGGGUGUGUAAGCGCAGCGAUGCGUUGAGCUAACCGGUACUAAUGAACCGUGAGGCUUAACCUU
rnacentral:rRNA from 1 species